rnacentral:lncRNA from 1 species
AUGUUUUUUUGGCAGUACCAAAUAAUAUAUUCCUCAAAACUUCUUAAUGGCACUGAGGCUUUGUGGAUAGUUGGUCACAUGAUGAGAAAAUUCAGCUAUCAUGGGCAAGGAGAAAACCCUUUACCUAUCCACGCGAGCAAUGCUAUUACCCUGCUUACACUCCUUAAUUGUCUGGACGGGAAGCUUGGCUUCUGGUUCAACCACAUGCUCUUCAGGAAGUAUUUACAUAACCAGAGUGGAUUUAUUAGGAAGAAAAAAUCAGUUUCCCUGCAUGUCUUCAGAGGCCCAAUGCAGCUAUUAUGGAAAUCGACUCCCAGCAAGGGUCUAUUAUCUAGUUUGGAUAGUAUGAUACUGAGAAAAAUAUAUGGCUAAGAGUAUAGAAGGCUCUAACCUCCUUUUUCAAAGGUGCCAAUUAAUUUGUCAUUUCAUAAUUUCGAAAAUUUUUCUUCAGGCUUUCUUAAGAUUAAAUAAGGACGUUCAGAAACAGUAAGAAUAAUUAAGGGGCAGUUAGGGAGAGGAAGAAUAUAUGCAGUUUGAUUGAGUUGAGGUAAACAACCACAGACAAUUAAACUGGAAUGAUGUAAUAUCAUUUAAGUUAGCAGCAGAACGUAUAAUUGGAAGGCGUGUGAUAGAACUGGGAAAACAUGAUGUGCAGUCGUUCUGAGUUAAGCUAUCUUACCCAAUUUAAUAACGUUUUAAAGAGAUGCUAAUCCCCUGUUUAGCAUGAUCGAAAUCGGACUGGACAAAGUGCUAGAAACUUCAGAAAGACAACCCUGUGGUUGGGUAUAGGUUGGGAACUAAUCGUUGGCAUUGAAAAGUUCAGGAGUUCUGGUCAAUUUUGAGGACUACGAGAGGGUCAGAAUCAAGAAAAAAGUUUAUCUGGAGUAUUAGAGAUUGCUCCCCAUAGAAAUAUUGUGAUAUACCAGGACCAGUAUAAAGAGGAGGAUGCUCUCUUAAUGCAGUUUGUGUGUUGAUUUGUACAGCCCAGCUUUCCAUCUAAGUUUGCCCAAGCACUGAAAGUUAUUUUAAUUGCCCAGUUUCUAUAAAGUGCACGAAUAACUCAUCGGGGAUGCUUUUGGCCCCUUCUUUCAGUGCUCGAGUAGACAGAUUUCAUUGCUGGUGUGUAUGCGCCCUGUGAGCACAAGGCCAAAUGAUUUGGACAAGCAGAGUCUAGUAGAUGCUAUCAGUGGACUACUACUUGAAGCGCCCUCGUUUCUCUAUCCUCGGGGCAUUAAAUAGUGGUGUGAGUACAAACAUUCAGGAUUUCAUUGUUUCCAUCCUACCACGACGAUGGAAAAGGUGCAGUACCUGUGCUGUGCGAUUCCUUUAACUUUACAAGCAACACUACAAUUAAUUUCAUGCAGUAAAUUAGGUCUACCUAAGAAAUACGGUUUCAAUUAACAUACUAGAUAUAUCUCUUUCUGUAGGGAUAAGAGAGCCAUAAGUUACGGGGGGUUAAGAUUUUCCCUAGCAUGAUUCUUCAGGACCUGUUUAUGACACUGCUGUUACUGCAGAGGUACGUGUCCCACCGUAACAUUUCCUCUUUCCAAGAGGAAACGUAGAGUGGAGGAAGGAUAAAAAAACACCCGAGUUUGUUUCUAAAUUCCAUGAGCAAAGCCCCAGUUGUGCUUUAAGGCAGCGUCUCUCGCUAAGUGUCCUACAAGCUGUGAUUCAGGGCUCCUGGGACACAUCUGUUGCCACGGUCAGCUCGCACUGACAGGGAAGUCUGACGGAAGCAGGAGAGGCGUGAUUCCAAGCACGAGCUGCUGCCCCUGCACGUAGCACGGGAUAAAAGAUUCAGCAGCAAUACGGUGCCUUUUUGAUUCAUGUGCUUUAAGUCCAAGGCCUGAAAAGACCAGUUUUAGUGCUUGGAUGCUCCCCGCAGGGACCUCAAUAGACACUGGCUUUGUGCUGAGCACCGUACGUAUUUAGAGCCCUGGUGGUGGUGAUCACCUUUGUAACUCCAGUGCCGUCUUACACAUAGUGCUGAGUGACUCCUGCCUUUUCUCUUACUCUCUACCAAGCUAUCCAGCCUUCAGAAACAAUAAACACCAGAAAUAGAUUCCCUUUUAUGACUGA